UUAACAGCACUCAAUGGGUCUGUCACCCAUGACCCACUGAGGCGUCAAGA
rnacentral:snoRNA from 1 species